rnacentral:lncRNA from 1 species
GUAGAUUUCUGUCCUAUUCCUCCCUUCCAAGUCACCCCUUCUAGUCUGAAGGGCAUAAGAUGCUGAUAGUCUCAUGUACUGCUUGCUCACAUUUCUGUGCUCAUCCUUCCCAGCGCAUCAGUCACAGGAAGGAAAACACAGGCACUGCCAAAACAGUCAACUGCCUACAUCAUGUGAAGAGGAGAGAGCAGCUUCCACUGAACCGAACUCACUGCAUGACUGCAAACAGCAGAGAGGAAAGGCAGGGGAGUCUGAAGUAGAGACUCGCAUAGACAGAGGCUGGCCAGCAUGGGAGAAGGAGAAGGAGAUGUGCAAGUGGUCAGCCAGCAAGCAAUGUCAACAGUGUGAUUCAGCGGCUCUCACACAAGGAAGAGCUGGUUACGAGGGGCCCAAGCCACCCCAGUGGCUUCCAAAAGAGGACAUGAGACAAAGGCCUGCAGCAUACCUCUUCAGUUGGGUCAGUGAAGCAGCAUCACGCUGACCUCCUAGUAUUACCCUACUGCCUUGAGAUCCUGAUGGAAACUGCGGGAAGACUGACCUUCUCUGGGAGUUGUACAGGGGCAUGUGUUAAAUAUCCAUAACUCCCCAUGCUCUCUUGCAUAAUCACCUGGUGGCCAGGGACAAGUCGUUUAGAUGAUUUGGAAUAGNNNNNNNNNNNNNNNNNNNNNNNNNNNNNNNNNNNNNNNNNNNNNNUCAGCAGUCAAACAUCCAGCCCUAUCUGGAUGCCACUUCUUUUCCAAAUCCUUUCAAAUGCAGCCUAAGGGGUUACUAUUGACUUUAAAAGCAGGGGAGGGGGCUGAUUCAACAAAAACAACUAAGCACUUAAUAACGUUAAACACAUGCUCAAGUCUCUUCCUAUUCAACAAAACAGUUGAGCACUUACUUCACCCUUCUUAGAUGGCCCAGAACCAAAACACAGAGUUCUCAGAAUUUCUCCAACCUUUAUUUAAUUUUAGCGGAGGGACAGGAAUUUGAACCUUGAUCCAUGUUUUGCAAAGGGUCCCUAUUUGCAAGUGAGUCAGACUCCGGAUCCAGACCUACACACCCAAAUGUUGGCACGUUCAUGUUUUGGACUGGGAUCUGAUUUUUUCAGCUUGUGAGAUCAGAGUGAGAACUCCGAUCCAUGCAUAUGCUCAUUAAAGAGUUUGAAUUGCAGGCAGGGAGCUGUUAAACCGUGUUUCUGUGCAUGGUUUAAACUGAUGAUGCUUCCCCCAACUCCACCUACCUGAGGUGCAAAAGCAAGCCACCACCUCAGUGUGCACUGUGCAGAUGCUCAGCCCGCGAGCGUGCAGGAUUUGCAGAGCUCCUCAAAUUUGGCUGCUCUUUCACAAGUCUAAACCCACCACAGCACAGCUCUGUAGCCCCAUUCCCAGAGUCAUGUGAGAUCUUCAGACUCUUGGCUAGUAUUAAAAUACCGUAGAGCGUUCACUUAGCGGUUGCAAAGAGAAAGUGCGAACGGAGAGAGCAAGGCGUGCCGCGGC